GACAGAGGAUGCAAGCGUUAUCCGGAAUGAUUGGGCGUAAAGCGUCUGUAGGUGGUUUAAAAAGUCUAUUGUUAAAAAUUGAAGCUUAACUUCAAAGAUGCAAUGGAAACUUUUAAACUUGAGUAUGGUAGGGGUAGAGGGAAUUUCCAGUGGAGCGGUGAAAUGCGUAGAUAUUGGAAAGACCACCAAUGGCGAAGGCACUCUACUGGGCCAUUACUGACACUGAGAGACGAAAGCUAGGGGAGCAAAUGGG
rnacentral:rRNA from 1 species